UGUAGCAACACAUUUUCUAAGAAAUAUAUUCAUAUCAUACUUGAAACUCAACAAAGAUAACGAAAUAAAUAUUAAAAAUAUCUUAAAUUUGACAUAAAAUUAAUAAUUUUAGCUUUUAUUUACUGUCGGUCUUAAAAAUAUAUUUCUAUUUGAGUAGCUAAACUUAGAUAUGUACGCCUCUGAUGAGUCACCUGUCAAGGCAAGUGAUCUUAAAUUUUUAUAGGAGCAUGAUAUACUCUUAAUAGAAAAUCUAAAGAAGUGUUGAAAAUACUCUUAAGCUUGGCAAAAAUUAAAGAGUGCAUGUAAAUUAAGUUAAUUAUUGCAAUAUCAGAAGAAGUACCGAAAACACAUUUAAAUUUGUUAAAAUGGAACUAAUAAUUUAUAUCGAAUCUAUAAGUGAUUAACUGAUUUAAUUUUCACGUCCUACAUUUUUAUUGGGGCCUACUCUAAUAAAUAUACUUUUAUUUAGUUUUGAAAAUAAAAUAGAGAAUGGUUGUAUUUUGUAUUGCGGCGUACUUUUUGUGAGCCCAUAUGGUAUAUGGUCCCAAUUACUCCUAUAUAAAUAGCCUCCCAACUUCCUCCCACUUUCUCUAAACUACCAUCCAUUCAAUUCCCCAAAAUCCCUUAUUUUUCCAUCCAAAAACAACAUGAAGAAAUCACUUCUCUUAGCAGCCUCUGUUUCUGCUGCCGCCACCGCCACCGUCUCUUCUGUAUCCAAAGUUCGAAUUUCUCUUCACAAGGACGAUAAUUUGAAGAAAACUGAUGAAGAUUGUUCAAAAUCGGUGAAAGCAUCAACAUCUACAGAUAAAUUUGCGCCCAGAUUUGAUGGAUUGAGGUUUAUAGAGACGUUGGUCACUGCUCACAGAUAAGUUUACAAAAGAGGCCCCCCAAAAAAAAAGUUUUGGAUGGAAAAUAUAUAAGUGAAAAAGGAGGAAUAUGAUAUUGUAAUUUAUACAUGAUUGUUUCAAGGAUAUAUCAAAUUUCAAAAAAAAUUGUUUCCCAAGAGUUUUUUUUUAAAAAAAAUCAGAUUUGUCUGAAGAACGUAUGAUGUCGCUGUUCAAAUUUGUUUAGAUUCUUGACAAUAUUUGUAUUUCCAAUAGGAGUUUUUAUGUUUGACAAAAACUACAGCUUAAAUUAUAUUUUAUGUUCUUUUUAAUUGGGGUUAAUGACAUGGAUUCACUAGAAAAAGUGUACGAUUCAGAUUUAGAAAGUUUACCAAGUCCGGAAUUGAGUACGAAGUUAAUGAGUCCAGUCAAACUUACACAACUUGGACAGCUAGAAUGAUCCAGUAGUUUCUGAAAAUCAAAAUUUUUUUAUCUGAUUCAUGAUUUUA